UAGAUACCCUGUUACUUGUAUUUAAAAGAUUUUGGAAUAGUAAUAUUAAUGAAAUUUAACGGAUUUGGCGGCAAGAUAGCCAUUUAGAGGAACCUGCCCUAUAAACGAUGGUCCACGAUUUAACUCUACUUUUAUUUGUAUUCAGUUUGUAUACCGCUGUUGUCAGUCAGUUUCUUUAGAAAACUUUCAUUCAUGGUAAAGUCAUUGACUUCAAGUAAAGGUGCAGCUUAUAUAAAAGACAGAGGUGGGUUACAUUUAAAAGAUUAAAACGGAUAAAGUUUAUGAAAAUAGCUUUUGAAGGUGGAUUUAAUUGUAAAGUUUAUAUAAACUUGAUGUGAGCUCUAUCUUGUGUACACACCGCCCGUC
rnacentral:rRNA from 1 species